rfam:Dichanthelium oligosanthes cultivar Kellogg 1175 unplaced genomic scaffold Do_version_2_scaffold4364, whole genome shotgun sequence.
GAGAGCCGUGUGAUGGGUGACUAUCUAGCACGGUUCAGAGAGCACGUGUAUGUAGUCUGUGCUGGUGAAUGGAAGCCCCCGCCACAAAAAAGAAGCGGCUUUUCCCACAGCUCUGUCACCAUUGACUCUAU